AGAGUUUGAUCCUGGCUCAGGAUGAACGCUAGCUACAGGCUUAACACAUGCAAGUCGAGCGGUAUGUGCUUUAGUGCAUACAGCGGCAGACGGGUGAGUAACACGUAUCUAACCUUCCCCUUACUUGGGCAUAGCCUCUGGAAACGGAGAUUAAUUUCCGAUGUGGUGUACAUUUCGCAUGUUUUGCGCACCAAAGAUUUAUCGGUAAGGGAUGGGGAUGCGCUCCAUUAGGUUGUAGGUAGGGUAAUGGCCUACCUAGCCUAUGAUGGAUAGGGGUUCUGAGAGGAAGGUCCCCCACAUUGGAACUGCGACACGGUCCAAACUCCUACGGGAGGCAGCAGUGAGGAAUAUUGGUCAAUGGCCGGAAGGCUGAACCAGCCAAGUAGCGUGCAGGAUGACUGCCUUAUGGGUUGUAAACUGCUUUUUUACGGGAAUAAUUAUGAUCACGUGUGAUUAUUUGCAUGUACCGUAAGAAUAAGGAUCGGCUAACUCCGUGCCAGCAGCCGCGGUAAUACGGAGGAUCCUAGUGUUAUCCGGAUUUAUUGGGUUUAAAGGGAGCGUAGGCGGGAGGUCAAGUCAGCUGUGAAAUGUAUCUGCUUAACGGGUACACUGCAGUUGAAACUGGUUUUCUUGAGUGCGUAAGAGGCAGGCGGAAUUCGUUGUGUAGCGGUGAAAUGCUUAGAUAUGACGAGGAACUCCUAUUGCGAAGGCAGCUUGCUGGGUCGUUACUGACGCUGAUGCUCGAAGGUGCGGGGAUCAAACAGGAUUAGAUACCCUGGUAGUCCGCACAGUAAACUAUGGAUACUCUCUGCCGGCGAUACAUUGUCGGUGGCCAAGCGAAAGCGUUAAGUAUCCCACCUGGGGAGUACGUUCGCAAGAAUGAAACUCAAAGGAAUUGACG
rnacentral:rRNA from 1 species